rnacentral:rRNA from 1 species
CCUACGGGAGGCAGCAGUGGGGAAUAUUGGACAAUGGGGGGAACCCUGAUCCAGCCAUGCCGCGUGUGUGAAGAAGGCCCUCGGGUUGUAAAGCACUUUCAGUGAGGAAGAACGCCUGGUGGUUAAUACCCAUCAGGAAAGACAUCACUCACAGAAGAAGCACCGGCUAACUCCGUGCCAGCAGCCGCGGUAAUACGGGGGGUGCGAGCGUUAAUCGGAAUUACUGGGCGUAAAGCGCGCGUAGGUGGCUUGAUAAGCCGGUUGUGAAAGCCCCGGGCUCAACCUGGGAACGGCAUCCGGAACUGUCAAGCUAGAGUGCAGGAGAGGAAGGUAGAAUUCCCGGUGUAGCGGUGAAAUGCGUAGAGAUCGGGAGGAAUACCAGUGGCGAAGGCGGCCUUCUGGACUGACACUGACACUGAGGUGCGAAAGCGUGGGUAGCAAACAGGAUUAGAUACCCUGGUAGUC